rnacentral:rRNA from 1 species
AUGGACAGUUUGUUCCCGGUGCUGCAGUACGCAGACGACACCCUGAUCAUCUUCAAAGGAGAUAUCAAGCAGGCCACUUUAAUCAAGAGCAUUCUAGAGUCCUUCUCGGCCUUCUCGGGCCUCACCAUCAACUUUCACAAGAGCACACUAGUACCUGUGUCUGUGGAUGAGACUGUGGCCUCGGAGAUUGCUCAGUUGCUUGGUUGCCCUCUGUCCUCCACACCGUGCACUUAUCUUGGGCUGCCCCUCUCUCUGAAUAAGAUCACGCAUGGGAUGUUGUUGCCGGUCAUUCAUAAAGUUGAUCGCAGGCUCUCGGGUUGGUUAGCCACCUUUUUAACUUUGGGAGGGAGGCUCACGCUUGUCAAUUAUGUCCUGGCUGGUAUACCCAGUUAUUUUAUGGCAUGUUUCCUAUGGCCCAAGGAGUCCAUCAGCUCGCUUGAGAGUCUGCUACGUGCUUUUCUUUGGCAAGGCAAAGACAGCGUUAAAGGUGGCCAGUGUUCAUAG